rnacentral:rRNA from 1 species
GAGCACGUAGGAGUUUGUAAGUCAGACGUGAAAGCCUUCUGUUCAACGGAAGAAUUGCAUCUGAAACUACAAACCUUGAGUGUAGGAGGGGAGAAUGGAACUUCUGGUGGAGCGGUGAAAUGCGUAGAUAUCAGAAGGAACGCCGGCGGCAAGGCGAUUCUCUGGCCUAUUACUGACACUCAGUGUGCGAAAGCAGGGGGAGCAAACGGGAUUAGAUACCCCGGUAGUCCUAGCCGUAAACGAUGGGCACUAAGUAGAGGGGUUUU